CAUGGAGACACAACAGGCCAAGCAGACACUGGCAGACAUUGAAGCUCGUCAUGAAGAUAUCAUAAAAUUGGAAAGUAGUAUUCGUGAACUGCACGACAUGUUUAUGGAUAUGGCAAUGUUAGUGGAGAGUCAGGGAGAAAUGAUUGAUAGGAUUGAAUACCAUUGUGAACAUGCUAGAGAUUAUAUUGAAACUGCCAAGCAAGAUACAAAGAAAGCAUUAGCAUACCAGAGCAAGGCUCGAAGACAGAAAAUCGUUAUUAUUGUCCAGAUACAUAAUGAAAAUAUAAAAUUACCUCAUUUUCAAUAAUAUGAAGCUUUCUUUUUUUUGGAGAUUAUUUCAUAUGUUAAAGACAAAAUCAAGGAUGCAUUCACAUAAUAUUCUUGGCAGAAGAAAAUAAUGAUCAUGAUAUGCGUCAUCAUCCUGGUGGUGAUCCUCAUUUCAUCGAUAAGCGGAUACCUGGGGAUAUCGUAGAAAGCCCCAGUUCUCAUCUCCACCUUCCUCCAGGUCAAAGGUGGUGCACAUUAAAAUGGCCUCCCUACUUUUGCCAUUGGCCUGCUGAUUCAGUAACAACUCGGAGAGCCUUUCUUCCAAUUUUUUCUCUUCAAAUUACAGCUGCUCUUCAGUAACUUAGUUUGUUAUCUGUCCCAUUGCAUCGAUAUGAAUGUAUUUUUGUAGCAAACUUCUUUCAGAAUUGUCUCAAAUUUACUUUGUAAAUUAUUCUACAUAAUCCGUGUAAAUGUCCGUCGGAUCUCUUCGUAACUACCUUACGUGUGCGUGAUCGACGUAAUCGAUGCCUGUCUCGUAUUUAUCGGAAGGAAAGAAAAAAAUAAAUAAAUAGAACGCAAUAAUCUACUGUUAUUCUACCGAAGUCGGUAGUCCUUGUCGGCUAAAUUUGGAGAUCUUUCGGAAACGUGUCUUUGUGAUUGUUCUUUUAAACAAUAUUACGAAAGACGUAAGCUUUUAUCACUUUGCAGAGUGCACAGUUAGAUUUAGAGAACGACCACUCGGUUAGCGUAGCACGAGAGGCCCAAGCUUACUCUAAUCAAACGAACUAUUUCUCUGUGAAUGUUCUUCCUUUUUUAAGUCUAUCGUUGUUAUAUCGGAGGCUUUAAAGUUCCUCUCAUAGUUGCCUGGUGGUUACAUAAGGAACUGUCUCUGGAGUAGCCGAGUGUUCCACCAUAUCAUUCCACAGUCUGUGUGUAAAUAUCCUGUAAAUAUUAGUAAAGCAGGAAUUAUGUGGUCGCUGUGGUUUUGGCUAGUCACGGACGACGAGGUGAGGUUAUUCGAUCGGCUUUAACCAUAUUGUUGUCGUUUAUUUAGAUUAUUAAGAUUAGAAAAAACAAACAAAAAUUCAAAUGCUGCUCUAUUAUCGAUUGUGAUAGAUGCCGGACGUCUCUUCCGGCCGUUAUUAAUGUUUGCCCAUAACACAAUAACGCAUA